ACCUAUAAAGCCACAGUUUUUUUAUUGCAUAUAUUUUUGUUAAAUUACUUUAUAAUAAGAUGCAAUAACUUUAUGAAAAACAUUUUCAUAUUUAAUGUUAUAGUACAUUUUGUUUGAUAAUACAAAGUUUUUUAUUCAAUCACUAUUUCAGGUUUGGAACAUGCUGCUGAAGUUGGUUAUCAGGGCUCCAGGAAAUGUAUCAAACUGCAGGAUUGAUUUAUUUUUGCUCAUUAGUGAAGGUGGUAAGCUAAACUGACUGUGGACUAAUGUAUGCAUUGUUGAUGACACUGAAAUCGAGGAAGACAUUCUACAAGAUGUGCUGCUUACAGUUAGAGGACAAAAUGAAGAUGCAACAAGCAGCUUCUGCCACUGUCAUUUACCAUCUGAACUUGACCAAAGUCGUUCCAAGAAAUCUAAGACAACAGAUGACUCCAUGACCU